UACAGGAAUAGCACACAUCAGCUGUACAAUGUAUUUUUAAUGUAUAUUUUGUACAGCUGAUGUGUGCUAUUCCUGUA